rnacentral:rRNA from 1 species
AGUGGAUGGGGAGCAACCUAGUUGUGCGUGUGUAAAGGUAGUGCCAAGAAAAGCGGUGAUCAUGAUGAAAAUCAAUUCCCGGUACCCGAAACCGACACAGGUGGGCAAGUAGAGAAUACUAAGGGGCGCGAGGUAACUCUCUCCAAGGAACUCGGCAAAAUGACCCCGUAACUUAGAGAGAAGGGGUGCCACCGAGAGGUGGUCGCAGUGAAGAGGCCCAGGCGACUGUUUAGCAAAAACAUAGGUCUCUGCAAACUCGAAAGAGGAGGUAUAGGGGCUGACGCCUGCCCAGUGCCGGAAGGUUAAAGAAGUUGGUCAGUCUUAGGAUAAAGCUAGCGACUGAAGCCCCGGUGAACGGCGGCCGUAACUAUAACGGUCCUAAGGUAGCGAAAUUCCUUGUCGGGUAAGUUCCGACCCGCACGAAAGGCGUAACGAUCUGGGCGCUGUCUCGGAGAGAGGCUCGGCGAAAUAGGAUUGUCUGUGAAGAUACGGACUACCUGCAUUUGGACAGAAAGACCCUAUGAAGCUUUACUAUAGCUUGGAAUUGUGUUCGGGCUUCCUGUGCGCAGGAUAGGUGGGAGGCGAAGAAGGUAUUCUUGUGGGGAUACUGGAGCCAACGGUGAGAUACCACUCUCAGGAGGCUAGAAUUCUAACUUAAUUAAGGACAGUUUCAGGUGGGUAGUUUGACUGGGGCGGUCGCCUCCAAAAAGGUAACGGAGGCGUACAAAGGUUCCCUCAGACUGGUUGGAAAUCAGUCGCAGAGUGCAAAGGCAGAAGGGAGCUUGACUGCGAGAAGUACAGUUCGAGCAGGGUGGAAACACGGUCUUAGUGAUCCGACGGUGCUGUGUGGAAGGGCCGUCGCUCAACGGAUAAAAGUUACUCUAGGAUAACAGGCUGAUCUCCCCCAAGAGUUCACAUCGACGGGGAGGUUUGGCACCUCGAUGUCGGCUCAUCGCAACCUGGGGCGGAAGUACGUCCCAAGGGUUGGGCUGUUCGCCCAUUAAAGCGGUACGUGAGCUGGGUUCAGAACGUCGUGAGACAGUUCGGUCCAUAUCCGAUGUAGGCGUGAGAAUAUUGAGAGGAGCCUUCCUUAGUACGAGAGGACCGGGAAGGACGCACCGCUGGUGUACCUGUUAUGAUGCCAAUUGUAAACGCAGGGUAGCCAAGUGCGGAGAGGAUAACCGCUGAAAGCAUCUAAGUGGGAAGCCCACCUCAAGAUGAGUAUUCUGGUGUAAGGUCACGGGAAGACGACCCGUAAAUAGGCACGAGGUGGAAGUGCAGAGAUGUAUGAAGCCGAAGUGUACUAAUAGACCGUCGGCUUGAC